UCAGCACAGUCUAUCAGAUUUUCCCGGAUGAGGUUCUGGGUUCUGGACAGUUCGGAAUUGUUUAUGGAGGUAAACAUCGUAAAACAGGAAGAGAUGUAGCUAUUAAGAUUAUUGACAAAUUAAGAUUUCCAACAAAACAAGAAAGUCAGCUUCGUAAUGAGGUUGCAAUUUUACAGAACCUUCAUCACCCUGGUGUUGUAAAUUUGGAGUGUAUGUUUGAGACGCCUGAAAGAGUGUUUGUUGUUAUGGAAAAACUCCAUGGAGACAUGCUGGAGAUGAUCCUGUCAAGUGAAAAGGGCAGGUUGCCAGAACACAUAACGAAGUUUUUAAUUACUCAGAUACUAGUGGCUUUGCGACAUCUUCAUUUUAAAAACAUCGUUCACUGUGACCUCAAGCCAGAAAAUGUGUUGC
rnacentral:lncRNA from 1 species